UCCGGCUUUCACCGGCUGUCUCUCUAGAGUGCCCAGCUUAACCUGCUGGCAACUAAAGAUAAGGGUUGCGCUCGUUGCGGGACUGAACCCAACAUCUCACGACACGAGCUGACGACAACCAUGCACCACCUGUCACCUCUGUCCCCGAAGGGCCGCCACUAUCUCUAAUGACUUCAGAGGGAUGUCAAGCCCUGGUAAGGUUCUUCGCGUUGCGUCGAAUUAAACCACAUGCUCCACCGCUUGUGCGGGCCCCCGUCAAUUCCUUUGAGUUUCAGCCUUGCGGCCGUACUCCCCAGGCGGAGUGCUUACUGGGUUUCCUUCGGCACUGAAGGGUGGACCCUCCAACACCUAGCACUCAUCGUUUACGGCGUGGACUAC
rnacentral:misc_RNA from 1 species